rnacentral:rRNA from 1 species
UGGGGAAUAUUGGACAAUGGGCGAAAGCCUGAUCCAGCCAUGCCGCGUGUGUGAAGAAGGUCUUCGGAUUGUAAAGCACUUUAAGUUGGGAGGAAGGGCAUUAACCUAAUACGUUAGUGUUUUGACGUUACCGACAGAAUAAGCACCGGCUAACUCUGUGCCAGCAGCCGCGGUAAUACAGAGGGUGCAAGCGUUAAUCGGAAUUACUGGGCGUAAAGCGCGCGUAGGUGGUUUGUUAAGUUGGAUGUGAAAUCCCCGGGCUCAACCUGGGAACUGCAGUCAAAACUGACUGACUAGAGUAUGGUAGAGGGUGGUGGAAUUUCCUGUGUAGCGGUGAAAUGCGUAGAUAUAGGAAGGAACACCAGUGGCGAAGGCGACCACCUGGACUAAUACUGACACUGAGGUGCGAAAGCGUGGGGAGCAAACA